rnacentral:rRNA from 1 species
CUACGGGAGGCAGCAGUGGGGAAUAUUGCACAAUGGGCGCAAGCCUGAUGCAGCGACGCCGCGUGGGGGAUGACGGCCUUCGGGUUGUAAACCUCUUUCAAUAGGGACGAAGCGCGAGUGACGGUACCUAUAGAAGAAGCACCGGCCAACUACGUGCCAGCAGCCGCGGUAAUACGUAGGGUGCGAGCGUUGUCCGGAAUUACUGGGCGUAAAGAGCUCGUAGGUGGUUUGUCGCGUUGUCCGUGAAAUCUCACAGCUUAACUGUGAGCGUGCGGGCGAUACGGGCAGACUGGAGUACUGCAGGGGAGACUGGAAUUCCUGGUGUAGCGGUGAAAUGCGCAGAUAUCAGGAGGAACACCGGUGGCGAAGGCGGGUCUCUGGGUAGUAACUGACGCUGAGGAGCGAAAGCGUGGGGAGCAAACAGGAUUAGAUACCCUAGUAGUCC